AAACUGAUAAAAACCAUAGGGACUGUACACAUACAAUGAAUGAUCGAUAUGAUAAUUUCGAGCGUGAUAACAUGUUUUCUAUAAUUUUGCUUGUUAGUUUUAUCAAACAUUUUAAAAGAAACUUUUUCAUAAUAACUGCUCAUAUAUUUUCUCAUCUAUUGAUAUAAACUUGUGCGAAUGCUCUUAUCACUUAAUACUGUAAUGAUAAAAUCGGGACGGAACAGGAUGUAUUUGAAACAGUGUGUUGAUAACAAAACCGUAUAAAUUAUGUUUAGAUUAAUAACUUAUAUAAUUUACAUAUCAUUGUUUCACGUCCAGUGUGUAGUAUGUUUUAGUGGAUAUAGUAACGAAUGGCUAGCUGAAAUUAAUGCUACUGAAUAUGAGACGAAAAUCAUUGCCAGCAGAUACGGAUUCGAAUACAUUAACAAGAUUGGCGAUGAUUUAUAUGUACUUAAACAUAAAUACUCACCACGAAGUUCUAGACGACGUGAAGAAAAUGUCAAGAAAAGUAUUCUAAGAGAAAAACAGGUAAAAUUUGUUGAGCAACAAAAAUGGAACAAACGCGUCCUCAGAUCUAUUGUAGUCAAUGAUCCGUACUGGCCAAAUAUGUGGUACCUGAAUGGAAAAAAUACUCAAGACAUGGGCGUGGCUUUAUGCUGGUCAAAGGGAUAUACUGGCAAGGGAGUGACAAUCGGAAUAGUCGACGACGGGGUUGAAAAGGACCACCCGGAUUUGAAAACGAACUAUAAUUCCAUGUUAAGUUAUGACGUCAUCGACAGAGACAAAGACCCUUCACCUGCGCCAGGACAAAAACAUGGGACAGAAUGUGCUGGAAUACCUCUUGCCACAGCAAACAAUACAAAUUGUGUGGUCGGUGUUGCCUUCGAUUCUCAGCUUGCUGGUCUACGUGUUCUCGGAGAAUCGAGCUCCACAAGCACUGGAGAACAUGAUGCAUUGCUUGCACCAGGUAUAGAUAUAUACUCAAACAGCUGGGGAGUGCUGGAUAAAACCACAUUUGAAGGUCCAAGCUCGAUCGUCAAUUCCGCAUUAAUUCAAGGAACACGAAAGGGACGUAAUGGUUUGGGUUCCAUAUACGUUUGGGCAGCUGGGAACGGAGGAAGUGACGACAACUGUAACUGUGAUGGAUAUGUUAACAGCAUUUACACAAUAGCAAUCAGUAGUGUGUCUUCGACAUUACAACCGCCUGGAUACGCGGAACCGUGUGCUGCUAUCAUGGCUAGCGCAUUCAGCGGAGGAGGUGGUUCUUCGAACAACGUUUGCACGACUUCCAUUAAUAAGACAUGUGUUACAUCAUUUACCGGGACUUCAGCGGCAGCACCUAUGGCAGCAGGAAUAUUUGCGCUAGCGUUGCAAGCAAAUCCAAGCCUAACAUGGAGAGACUUGCAGCAUUUAAUUGUAAAUACAUCUGAUAUGACAGACCUGAAGUAUGGUAAAUCUUUCACAAAUGGAGCUGGCCGAACAGUGGCCGACUAUUUUGGUUUUGGUUUACUCAAAUCUGAUUUAAUUCUUGACCGUGCACAACAAUGGAAAACGGUUCCAGAACAGCAUACAUGUCUUUCUACACCAAACAGGCCGUUCGUGAAAAAACAAAUCUUCCGGAAAAAUCCGAACAGGACAGUUUCAAGCUAUAUAUAUUCAAAUGGCUGCAACAAUAGUAAAGACGAAGUUCAGUCCUUGGAACACGUAGAAGUAGAUAUAACGUAUUCGUAUUCAUUGAGAGGGGCUGUUCAGUUCUUUCUUAUAUCUCCGUCGGGUACAAGAUCACAACUGCUAACAAGAAGGAGUAAAGAUCUUAAGCAAAUUUCGAAGCAGGUAUGGACAUUCAUGAGUGUUCAAUUUUGGGAUGAAAAUUCGGAAGGAAACUGGACCUUGCAGAUGUCUCUAGAUAUGGAUUAUGGAGAAAUAGGUUUUACCACGACAGUUGAAUGAUUGGUCUUUGAGGUUGUACGGUACUACCAUCAAUAUCCAUAAGAACGACAAAAAAGAUAACACAACUAAUGUACACAAGGCGGACAUUGAUACUACAGAUGGACUCGGGACUUUAUAUCUGAUUUUGAUAAUUGUGUUCUCAAUUAUUAUUGUGAUUGUCAUAAUAUCUGUUAUUGUAACAAUAGUUUGGAAAAAGACAAAAACUAAAGUUAAAGAAAAUCUUCAAACACAAGA
rnacentral:misc_RNA from 1 species